rnacentral:rRNA from 1 species
AUGUCACAAGCAAAGCUCAUCGUCGCAACGGUGACGGCACUUCAGCUCCUCAUGGCGACAGCCGUCGCCGCCGUCCAGGUAGCCUUACCUGGGUGCCCGCAGGCCUGCGGCAACGUCACCGUCCCCUACCCUUUCGGCUUCCGGCGAGGCUGCUUUCGCAAGGGCUUCAACCUCACCUGCGACGAGACGCGCCGUCCGCCGAGGCUGCUCCUGGGCGACGGCGUGGAGGUGGACGCCAUCUCCCUGGCGGACGGCACGGUGCAUGUGCAGACCAAGGUCGUGGCAUUCCGACCACUUUACACAAACGGUGCCGUCGGCGCGAGGAGAUCUAUCGACCACAACUACUCGUGGUACUGCGGCCUGCCGGAAGUGUACAAGAGCGGCGGCGCGCAGCUCGCGGUGUCCACCGAGCACAACGUCUUUGUGGCCAUCGGGUGCAACUUCAUCGGCUACCUCGUCGCAGUCAGCGACGGGGGUCGCGAGUAUGUCAGCACAUGCUCCACGCUGUGCAACGGGAAAACCCGGGACGCCUUGUGCACGGGCGUCGGCUGCUGCUGGACGACCAUCGCGCAGCGUUACCCCGGGUACCAGGUGAAGUUCAAGGAUUUGGACGAUACGGCGGCAGCGUACGCGGGCCAAAGCCGUGCGUCGGUGGCCGCGUUCAUAGUCGAUCGCGAGUGGUUCGUAGGCACCAUGCAGAACACUAUCAGCUUCAAUGAUUUUGUCAAUGAUGAUUUCGGUAACGGUCCGUCCAGCAUGCCCACCGUGCUGCACAAUGGUGGCUAG